GAACCUGCGGAGGGAUCAUUACUGAGUUUACGCUCUACAACCCUUUGUGAACAUACCUAUAACUGUUGCUUCGGCGGGUAGGGUCUCCGCGACACUCCCGGCCUCCCGCCCCCGGGCGGGUCGGCGCCCGCCGGAGGAUAACCAAACUCUGAUGUAACGACGUUUCUUCUGAGUGGUACAAGCAAAUAAUCAAAACUUUUAACAACGGAUCUCUUGGUUCUGGCAUCGAUGAAGAACGCAGCGAAAUGCGAUAAGUAAUGUGAAUUGCAGAAUUCAGUGAAUCAUCGAAUCUUUGAACGCACAUUGCGCCCGCCAGCAUUCUGGCGGGCAUGCCUGUUCGAGCGUCAUUUCAACCCUCAAGCUCUGCUUGGUGUUGGGGCCCUACAGCUGAUGUAGGCCCUCAAAGGUAGUGGCGGACCCUCCCGGAGCCUCCUUUGCGUAGUAACUUUACGUCUCGCACUGGGAUCCGGAGGGACUCUUGCCGUAAAACCCCCAAUUCUCCAAAGGUUGACCUCGGAUCAGGUAGGAAUACCCG
rnacentral:rRNA from 1 species